rnacentral:lncRNA from 1 species
UGUUUUUAUCUCUCCAUCUUCUUCUCUCCUGAAAAACCAUAAAUCAUACAGCGAAAAUAUCUCUCUCUAUCCCUCCAAAUUAAAACAACUCCCUCAAUCCCUUCAUCUCUCCACCGCACAUCUCCCUUUAUCCACCGUCGCACUUCUCCGUUUACAUGCACAAAAGUCAUGGGUUUGCAGUACUGGUCAAAUCUGAGAUGCAGCACGACGAGAGACAACUAAAGAUUCUGGGUUUGCAGUUUGCACAGACACAGAGCAGAGAGACGAGGAACCGCCUACAUGCCACCUAGCAUUGCCUACCACCGCCUAGUGCCUCCUAGCGCCACCUAGUCGACCGCCUAAACCUUCUCCGUUUUAUUGAACGUUUUGCCCAAAAUCACCACGGAAGCCCACUGCCCAACGCCUAGGUGACCUCCUAGGCCGAUUUUUAGAACACUACUUACAAUUCUUCCAAUUUUUCUUUCUACCAUUUCUUCCCAUUUCCAAAUUUUUCAAGAUGGCAAAAGAGCAUAUUAGAGGUCGUAAUUCGACCUUUGAGAAAGAUGUUGCUUUAUGCUUGGCAUGGGUUUCUAUUAGCGAAUAUGGUGCCAUCGGCAUGAAUUAAAAUAAAAAGGUUUUGUGGGGCUAAAAUUUUAGACCAGAAAGGUUAGAGCAGAAAAGCUGUUUCUGGGUUAAAACCUAAAUUUUCUCGACUAAAAAUUUUAGGUUUUAGGCCAAGGGUUGGAGAUGGUCUAAGGUUUCUCUAUAUGCGCUUGGAAAUUAGGGGUUUGGAUCCCAUUCAAAUCCAAAUUGUGGGAUCCUAGGAAUCCUCACAUUUUAGCCAUUCAUCAUGCAUCCGUGCGGUCAGAAAUCAUUUGACUUUUUUAUUUAAAAUUAAACACAAAUAGUACCUGAUGAAAAUUAGCCACACGAUAUACGAUGAAUGGAUAGGACGUGGGAAUCCCUAGGAUCCCCACAAUAGUAAAGUGGAUCCGGAGAGCACAAGUGUAAGGCUUCUCAGUAUGUGCUUCGGAAUGGGUUCAAGGCUUGCCUCCAUCAUUUAUACGUUGCUAUUAUUAGAUGCAUAAACUUCCACAUUUGGCUUCUUUUUUUCCUUUUGUGGGGUAGCCUUUCUCAGGGUCAUAUAUUCUUUUUUUUUUCUUUCUAAAUAUUACAUUUGGUACUUUUUGACAUUGAAGAUGUGUGUAUGUUUACAUUAAUUAAUGAAUUUAUCUUAUUUGCAGUCGGCUUUUGAAGGUGUGCAAGUGGUGUCACCACACAUGCCUCCAAAAUCGGAAGGGUCCCUGAUUUUUCAAUUUUACAGGAAUAUACAUACAUAUAGCAAUAUGUGUAAAAAAUAAUAAAAUCAAUUGUUAACACAAGUGUAAGGCUUCUCUAUAUGCGCUUGGGAAU